GUGCUGCCUUUGAGCCUCCGACACACCUUCCCAUGGUGCCGGGGGUUAAGUUACAGCGCUAUAGCACUUUGCUGGAGCAUAACUGGGCAGCCUACCUUUCGCAGGCCGUCCCUUUAACUGCUAGCUACAGGC
ensembl:snoRNA LOC120096832 small nucleolar RNA SNORA76